AGUCGCGCGAGAACUGUAGCAAUACAGGGAAAGCGGCGUAAGGGAGAGUAAUGCAUGGUUAGCUGCCCUCGGGACUGGGAUAGCGGCGGGAAACUGCCGGUAAUACCAGAUGACGUCUUCGGACCAAAGGUGCGAAUCCGCCCGAGGAGGUGACCAUGUCCUAUCAGCUUGUUGGUGGGGUAACAGCCUACCAAGGCUAAGACGGGUACGGGGUGUGAGAGCAUGCCCCCGCUCACUGGGACUGAGACACUGCCCAGACACCUACGGGUGGCUGCAGUCGAGAAUCUUCGGCAAUGGGCGCAAGCCUGACCGAGCGACGCCGCGUGCGGGAUGAAGGCCUUCGGGUUGUAAACCGCUGUCGUAGGGGAGGAAGGCCGCGUGAAGAGCGCGGUUUGACCGAUCCUAAGAGGAAGGGCCGGCUAAUCUCGUGCCAGCAGCCGCGGUAAUACGAGAGGCCCAAACGUUAUUCGGAAUUACUGGGCUUAAAGAGUCCGUAGGCGGCUCAGAAAGUGGGGUGUGAAAGCCCUCGGCUCAACCGAGGAAUUGCGCUCCAAACUCCUGAGCUAGAGGAACCUAGAGGUGAGCGGAACUGAUGGCGGAGCGGUGAAAUACGUUGAUAUCAUCAGGAACACCGGAGGCGAAGGCGGCUCACUGGGGGGUUUUCUGACGCUGAGGGACGAAAGCUAUGGGAGCAAACGGGAUUAGAUACCCCGGUAGUCCUAGCUGUAAACGAUGAGCACUGGACCGGAGAUCUGCACAGGGUUUUCGGUCGUAGCGAAAGUGUUAAGUGCUCCGCCUGGGGGGAGUAUGGGUCGCAAGGCUGAA
rnacentral:rRNA from 1 species